rnacentral:rRNA from 1 species
CUGAUGCAGCCAUGCCGCGUGUGUGAAGAAGGCCUUCGGGUUGUAAAGCACUUUCAGCGAGGAGGAAAGGUUGAUGCCUAAUAUGUAUCAACUGUGACGUUACUCGCAGAAGAAGCACCGGCUAACUCCGUGCCAGCAGCCGCGGUAAUAC